rnacentral:lncRNA from 1 species
GCUCCACCUCCUUCCACCACCACUCCACCCCCAUCUACCCCACCCCCUACAACUCCUGCAACUCCUGCAGCCCCUCCACCCACUUCUCCACCACCUCCACCAACCCCUUCUGCCCAACCACCUGCCUCAACACCUCCACCACCACCAGCUGCCUCACCGCCAUCCUCCUCACCACCCUCACCGCCAUCCUCCUCACCACCGCCACCACCAUCCUCCUCACCGUCUCCACCCUCGUCCCCCCCUCCGCCUUCAUCCACUACGCCGUCUACUCCCUCUCCGCCUUCAUCCACUACACCGUCUACUCCCUCUCCGCCUUCAUCCACUACGCCGUCGACUCCGACAUCAAAGUCGAGUCCCCCACCGCCGACGAGCACGAGCACGCCGACAAGUGGGGGGUCGUCGGGAAUUUCGACGG